CCGUAACACGUUAUUUAUGCCAAGAAUUUUUUUUUUUCAAAUUCCAAAAAUACAAAAUGCUUUGCACUAGUAUAAGGCAUCAUUUUAAUACACAAAUCGCAGAUGUUUUAGAAUUUUUAUGCCUUUUAUUACAGGAAAUGCUCGAUCUCAAAUUGCAGAACUAUAAUGAUCCCCUUGCUUUAUAUUAUUCGAGGAACAAAGACUUAACUCAUAUAUCACUG